UAUUAUUUUCCCUUUCGGUAUGGCCGACCCAGAUCUUCGUAUGAAAUCGGCAGAGCCGGUGAGGGAGUGCAUAUGCAAAUAUUGCAGCUUCAUAAGGUCGGUAUUGAUACCAGAGAUGGUCCAUGAUCGGCGUUUCUGCGAGCCCGGGUCCAGGGAAUUCGUCGAGUUCGACUCUGUCGACGUGGAGCACUUCGAUUGGAAAACCAAUCGCGAGAACAUGCUGCAUCGGGUGACGGCGCGCGUAAAGUUUUCCGGCUUGACAUGUAGCUUUCCUCUUAUUAUUAAGCUGCUUAAAUCACAUGUGGAUUAAUCACAUGUGGAUUCUUCGCCGUCUGGUCCAUUUCUGAACGAAGAGAUGUUUUACAGUAAAAUGACGCUCAACUAUGGAACCGACGGUGUCCCUAAGUGUUACCUGUCCGACCUGGGUGGGUACGAUGGUCAGCCUGCUAUUGUGUUAGAAGAUCUAGCCGCGCGUGGUUAUACGCAAGUAAAUGAUAAAUUGGAUGAGGAUCACCUGAAAUUGUGCAUAAAAGCUUUGGCAGCGUUUCACGCCAAGGGAUUGAAGCUGAAGGCGCAUAGGUUUCCCAUUUUCAGGGAGUUCUAUGCGAAACUGUCUGUACCAAAGGACUGGUUACACUUUCGUACAAGCGUUCAGACCGACAAUGUCAGAACAUCUGAAGCACGGUUGGAUGAGCCUGAAUGUUUGGACUCUUUAUUUUAUUCCGCAAUGCCAGUCGAGGCAGAUCUUUUUGAGAAAAUAAGAAAAAAACGAGACUUAACAGCCAAACUGGAGCUCAACGAAUUUUGGACCAUCUGUCACGGUAAUUUCACGCGGAAUAAUUUAUUGUUCAGGUACGAGAAUGGAAGACCGAGCGACGUAAAAGUGAUCGAUUGGAGCACAAUGAGGUACUGUUCGCCAUCGAUCGAUUUCGGUCACAUUCUCCUUCAAAAUCUACCCGACGACGAUAAUCUGCUGAAGGCCGAGGCAUUUUGCCGGACUAUUUUGCAGAUUUAUUUAAACGCCGUGAAAGACGAGUGUCCGGAAAUGGAUCGUGAACUUUUUGAACGAGAUAUUAUCGCCAAGUUGCCAUUUGCGUAUGGCAUGAUUGAAAAUCGAAUGCUCAAAGAAGCAGGUGUGAUGUUACAUACGCUCGACCAUUUGGGCAGCUUCGGUUAAAAUCACUCGUCGUUCACAUCGUUACAGUUUAUUUGAUUCUUUAGUCUUUGCGAUGUUUGUCCCAUGUAUUAAAUCUUAUCACGACUUUAUCAUGUGUAUUCGUGAUAGCGGCAUACACGAGUAGAAUACAUUGGCAUACAUUAAAGUGAAUAUGAUAGAUUUAAGUUUACAAGUCUAUUUUUAGUGUUGUACUUUUAAUUUACAAGUAAUGUGAUCAACAAUAUAACAGAGAGUAGAAUAUCACGGUACUUCAUGUAAAAUUUAUAGAAAAAUAAAUUUAACGUUAUGGAA